rnacentral:rRNA from 1 species
GAGAAAAAUACUAAGGGCGCAUGGAGGAUACCUUGGCGAAUAGAGCCGACGAAGGACGUGGUAAGCUGCGAUAAGCCUCGGGGAGCCGCUAUUGGCAUCGAUCCGGGGAUUUCCGAAUGAGGCAACUCAUUACGGGUAAUGCCGUAAUAUUAUACAGUGAAUUCAUAGCUGUAUGAAGGUAAGCAGGGGAAUUGAAACAUCUUAGUACCCUGAGGAAAGUAAAUCAAUUGAGACUCCGUUAGUAGAGGUGAUCGAAAACGGAAGAGCCUAAACCGUGUUGAUGUAAUAGACGCCAGUCGUUGUCAAUACGGUGUUGCGAGAGCAGAUGGGGCAGUCUGGCGGCUGUCCGGUAAGUUACCAAACUUUAGAUUAGCAGAACGGUCUGAAAAGUCCGGCCAGAGAGGGUUAUAGCCCCGUAAUUUAAAAUUUAAAGUCUUACUUUUGUUUCUCAAGUAGAACGGGACACGUGAAAUCCUGUUUGAAUCCGGGUGGACCAUUCAUCCAAGGCUAAGUACUUCUAUUCGACCGAUAGCGAAACAGUACCGUGAGGGAAAGGUGAAAAGAACCCCGGGAGGGGAGUGAAAUAGAACAUGAAACCAUGCGCUUACAAGCAAUCAGAGGCCGCAAGGCUGAUGGUGUGCCUAUUGAAGAAUGAUCCGGCGAGUUACAAUGUGCGGCAAGGUUAAGUUUUUUAACGGAGCCGUAGCGAAAGCAAGUCUUAAUAGGGCGUUUAGUCGCAUUUUGUAGACCCGAAGUCUGGUGACCUAUUCAUGUGCAGCGCGAAGCGGCGGUAACACGCCGUGGAGGUGCGAACCGGUGGAUCUUGAAAAAUCCUCGGAUGACGUGUGAAUAGUGGAGAAAUUCCAACCGAACUAGACGAUAGCUGGUUCUCCUCGAAAUGCCUUUAGGGGCAGCCUUGGAGGAAGCCCAUCGGGGGUAGAGCUCUGUUUAGGCUAGGGGACUCACCAAAGUCUACCAAACCUACGCAAACUGCGAAUACCGAUGGUUUAUUAUCCAGGAGUGAGCCUGUGGGGGAUAAGCUUCACAGACGAGAGAAGAAGAAUUCAGACCGUCGAUUAAGGUCCCCAAAUCUAUGCUAAGUGUUAACCGUAAGGAAGUUGUGAGUCCCAGACAACCAGGAGGUUGGCUUAGAAGCAGCCACCCUUUAAAGAAAGCGUAAUAGCUCACUGGUCGAGUCUCAUAGCGCCAAAGAUUUAAGGGGCUCAAGCAUAGUACCGAAAUCACGGAUACAUACAGUCGCUGACUGUAUGCAUGGUAGAGGAGCGUUCCGUAGUAGGGUGAAGUUCAGCCGUAAGACUGGAUGGACGAAUCGGAAGUGAGAAUGUCGGAAUGAGUAACGAAAAAAUAUGUGAGAAUCAUAUUCGCCAAAAACCUAAGGUUUCCCGGGGAAGGGUCGUCCGCCCGGGGUUAGUCGGGACCUAAGCUGAGGCCGAGAGGCGUAAGCGAUGGACAGCAGGUUAAUAUUCCUGCACCAGUAUAUUUCGUUAUCACGAUGGAGUGACGCAGAAGGCCAGGCGUAGCCGGUUAUUGGAUUCCGGUCCGCGCAGGUAGGGUGAAAGACAGGUAAAUCCGUUUUUCAUUAGCCCGAGACGCGCGGCGAGCCGCAAGGCGGAGUUGCCGGGGCCACGCUGACAAGAAAAACUUCUAAGGAGAAAUAUGCUGCCCGUACUAAAACCGACACAGGUAGGUGGGGAGAAAAUCCUAAGGCGCGCGAGUUAUCUCUCGUUAAGGAACUCUGCAAAAUGACCCUGUAACUUCGGGAGAAAGGGUGCCGCAGUAAGGUGAAGGCGUACAGCCGGAGCCGGAAGCGGUUGCAAAAACCAGGCGAUAGUGACUGUUUAUCAAAAACACAGGUCUCUGCAAAGCCGCAAGGCGAUGUAUAGGGGCUGAUGCCUGCCCAGUGCUGGAAGGUUAAGAGGAGAAGUCACGCCGCAAGGCCGCAGCUUUGAAUCGAAGCCCCAGUGAACGGCGGCCGUAACUAUAACGGUCCUAAGGUAGCGAAAUUCCUUGUCGGGUAAGUUCCGACCCGCACGAAAGGCAUAACAACUUUCGCACUGUCUCAACGAGGGGCUCGGUGAAAUUGGAAUAUCUGUGAAGAUACAGAUUACUUGCAGCAGGACAGAAAGACCCUAUGAAGCUUUACUGUAACUUGGCUUUGAGUUUCGAUUAAUUGUGCGCAGGAUAGAUGGGAGACUUUGAUUCGGAAACUUCGGUUUUCGAUGAGUCGACGUUGAGAUACCAUCCUCAAUUCGUUGGAAUUCUAACGCGGCGCUUUUAUCAAGCACGCGGACAGAGUCUGGUGGGCAGUUUGACUGGGGCGGUCGCCUCCUAAAAGGUAACGGAGGCGCUCAAAGGUUCUCUCAACACGGUCGGAAAUCGUGUGUGGAGCGUAAUCGCACAAGAGAGCUUGACUGCGAGGCUGACGGGCCGAGCAGGGACGAAAGUCGGAGAUAGUGAUCCAAUAGCACUGUGUGGAAGGGCUAUUGCUCAACGGAUAAAAGUUACUCUAGGGAUAACAGGCUGAUACUACCCAAGAGUUCAUAUCGACGGUAGUGUUUGGCACCUCGAUGUCGGAUCAUCUCAUCCUGGGGCUGAAGCAGGUCCCAAGGGUCGGGCUGUUCGCCCGUUAAAGAGGUACGUGAUCUGGGUUCAGAACGUCGUGAGACAGUUUGGUCCAUAUCCGCUGCAAGCGUAGGAAAAUUGAGGGAGUUUGACUUUAGUACGAGAGGACCGAGUUGAACGAACCUAUGGUGUACCGGUUAUCCCGCCAGGGGUAGGCGCCGGGUAGCUACGUUCGGUUUAGAUAAUCGCUGAAAGCAUCUAAGCGAGAAGCUAGUCCCAAGAUAAAUUUUCCUGUCCCUUCGUGGGAGUAAGGCCUCCGGUAGACUACCGGGUUGAUAGGUCAGGGGUGUAAGCACAGUAAUGUGUUCAGCUGACUGAUACUAAUCGGCCGAGGUUUUUCCAUA